AACAGGAGGCUGAGCAGCUGCUGAGCUCUGUCCAGGUGGCACUUAAUAAAACUGAGGACCUCAACUUCAUGAAGGACACAGCAGAAGUGAAAAUAUUGCUGAACAGAUCAGAGGUCUACACAACCGGGAAUCCCCCCUCUUCCCAAUAAGGG